AACGAACGCUGGCGGCGCGCCUAAUACAUGCAAGUCGAGCGAGAAGACGUAGCAAUACGUUUGUAAAGCGGCGAACGGGUGAGGAAUACAUGGGUAACCUACCCUCGAGUGGGGAAUAACUAGCCGAAAGGUUAGCUAAUACCGCGUACGCUCCUUGGACUUCGGUUCAGGGAGGAAAGCGAUACCGUGGGUAUCGCGCUCUUGGAUGGGCUCAUGUCCUAUCAGCUUGUUGGUGAGGUAACGGCUCACCAAGGCUUCGACGGGUAGCUGGUCUGAGAGGACGAUCAGCCACACUGGCACUGCGACACGGGCCAGACUCCUACGGGAGGCAG
rnacentral:rRNA from 1 species